rnacentral:rRNA from 1 species
AGGAUUCCCUUAGUAACUGCGAGUGAAGAGGGAAGAGCUCAAAUUUAAAAUCUGGUAGUUCCUGACUGCCCGAGUUGUAAUCUAGAGAAGCAUUAUCCGCGCCGGACCAUGUACAAGUUUUCCUGGAAUGGAGCGUCAUAGAGGGUGAGAAUCCCGUCUUUGACAUGGGCUACCGGGGCUUUGUGAUGUGCUUUCCACGAGUCGAGUUGUUUGGGAAUGCAGCUCUAAAUGGGUGGUAAAUUCCAUCUAAAGCUAAAUAUUGGCGAGAGACCGAUAGCGAACAAGUACCGUGAGGGAAAGAUGAAAAGAACUUUGGAAAGAGAGUUAAACAGUACGUGAAAUUGUUGAAAGGGAAACGCUUGAAGUCAGUCGCGUUUGCUAGGAAUCAACCUUGCAUUUUUGCUGGGUGUACUUUCUGGUCAACGGGUCAGCAUCAAUUUUGAUCAGUGGAAAAAGUUCAGAGGAAUGUGGCACCUCCGGGUGUGUUAUAGCCUUUGUUCGUAUACACUGAUUGGAAUUGAGGAACUCAGCAUGCCGUAAGGCCGGGUCAUUGACCACGUUCAUGCUUAGGAUGCUGGCAUAAUGGCUUUAAUCGACCCGUCUUGAAACACGGACCAAGGAGUCUAACAUGCCCGCGAGUGUUUGGGUGGAAAACCCGGACGCGUAAUGAAAGUGAAGGUUGAGAUCCCUGUCGUGGGGAGCAUCGACGCCCGGACCAGAACUUCUGUGACGGAUCCGCGGUAGAGCGUGUAUGUUGGGACCCGAAAGAUGGUGAACUAUGCCUGAAU